AGCGAACGCUGGCGGCAGGCUUAACACAUGCAAGUCGAGCGGGCGUAGCAAUACAUCAGCGGCAGACGGGUGAGUAACGCGUGGGAACGUACCUUUUGGUUCGGAACAACACAGGGAAACUUGUGCUAAUACCGGAUAAGCCCUUACGGGGAAAGAUUUAUCGCCGAAAGAUCGGCCCGCGUCUGAUUAGCUAGUUGGUAGGGUAACGGCCUACCAAGGCGACGAUCAGUAGCUGGUCUGAGAGGAUGAUCAGCCACAUUGGGACUGAGACACGGCCCAAACUCCUACGGGAGGCAGCAGUGGGGAAUAUUGGACAAUGGGGGCAACCCUGAUCCAGCCAUGCCGCGUGAGUGAUGAAGGCCCUAGGGUUGUAAAGCUCUUCUGUGCGGGAAGAUAAUGACGGUACCGCAAGAAUAAGCCCCGGCUAACUUCGUGCCAGCCGCCGCGGUAACAC
rnacentral:rRNA from 1 species